rnacentral:lncRNA from 1 species
UUCGUUCUAGCGGUACAUAUCUUUACAUCCAAGGUACCAGUAAGUGCCAAACAAAACUAUUCUACAGAAAAGAAAAGAAAAUAGAUGACAAGACAUCACAGAAGUUCCUAUUGUCCUGCUCCUUCAACAUUUGAAAACCUUCACCUGGCAGUAGAUCAAUCAUGAGUGAGAAACAAUACAGCAGCAAAACAAUACAGAAACAAUACGGUUGAUUAUUCAGAGAAGUUAAACUAAGUGCAGAUCACCCAAAACUGAAUUUCUUGCAAUCCAAACAACACAAACAGCAGGGAGAUGGUUGCAUAGAUACAAAUCCAUGUGGUAGCAGCAAAUUGGCCAAUCUGGACCGCAUCUUCUCUGUUUGGUACUAACUAAAUAAAAAAUGGACUUGUUCAUACAAAUCCCUCUUGAAUUCCUUGACACAACCAGGAUUUGCAUCAAAUAUUCCUUAAUUUAGCGACAUUAGUAACCAGAGAAAGAGGGGAAGGGAGAUGGGGAUGCUACCUACCUUGUCCUGAAGUUCCAACCACCAGACCAGAGAGAAGUUGCUCCUCAUCUUCUUUCCUCAGCCCCAAAUUCGCCUGCAAUAACCACAAUUCCGG